GCGUAACAAAAGUAAAUUAUACCUUCCUGUGACCUGUCGCAUCAAUGGACAGUGGUCGUUGGUUCUUUGUAUUGUUAACAUCCAUUGUGUGUUUUCAGUAUCCAAUUAUGGGAAUUCGCUUGUUUAUUUUUAUGUGUUUUAUAAUUAUGGUUAGUACUCUUCCCAAUGAACAAAGAAACAAAAGAGAUGUGAUGGAUACAAUGAAGCAUGCUUGGGACGAGGUGGUGAAGACUUUUAAUGACGCCGGGGAUGCUGUAGUACACGUGUUCAAACCAACAGAGAAAAACGUUUUAGACAAAAUGGCGGACGGAAUAAAGGGACUUACUAAUUA